GCCCAGAUCCUUAUCUAACACAAACCCCUAUUUCUACGUCUCCAACUUCUUUAAGGUUUUGGAGUAGAUAGAUUGGGCUCUUCAAAUCUGACUGAGUCCGUGGUCUUAUACCUGAAGUCUUGGUCAUCUCACCCCUCACCUUGAAAAGGGAAGCAACUACCUCUUGUAUCAGCUGAUGCUGAGACAGAAGGAACCCGUUUUUAACGCCCUGCUUUGCACAAACAGAAUAAAGAGGCAGAUGGUUGGCACAUCAGUCUUGCAGAGGCAUCUGGGGUAGAGAGGAGGAUGGGGAUCUGGAGAAAAUGACCUUCAGGGUUCCUUCCAAUCCAGAGAUAGAAAGUAUGGAACAUAGUCCCUGACUGUGAUGCUGGAGAGAUAAGACACUCAUGAAGCAUGAUACCAGUGUGUUCUGGGUAGUGAUAAAUGUAGUAGCUGUAAGCAUGAAUAAGCAGGCAUUGAGUCAUUGGGGAUGAGAUUUAUGUUUCAGAGAACAGAGAAGAGUCAGCAAGCCUGAAGACCCUGAAACUCAGUUGGCGUUUGGAAAGGGGAGGCACGUCUCACUUUGAGCCCCCACAGCCUCUCCUCCCAGGCUCUGUACUUCCUUGUUCUUCCAAAUGCCACCCUGUGAGGAAGUCACUCCCCAUCUCUGUGGCUGGAGGUGAACAGGGCAUUGCACUUUACCUACACGCCUGUUUUGCCUUGGCACAUGGAGGGAACACACACUCACGUUGUUGUUGUUAUUAUUAUUUCCAAGGCACAGGAUAGCUGUUGGCUGAGUCAGGAUUAGAGCCAGGGUUUUGGGUUUCGACUACAGGGCUCUCUCCACUCCCUCCUCUCUGGUCUCCCAGGUCUUUCUCAGGCACCAGAGGCCUGGAAAGCACUUUGCUGGAUAUUUCAGUCUUGCUGGCAUUUGUGAUUGGGAACGUGUGCGCAAGCCCAUCUUGUGUGUUUCUAGCUUGGAGCCUCCCGAAGCAGAGGUGCUCCCUAGAGACAAAGAAUGUGGCCACCGAAAGCUGAACUCCCUGCACUGGUCCUGCUGAGCAGGGCUGGAACUCCCUCCUGUGUGUCUGUAAUUAGCAUUUGGCCUGUGUUUCAAGCAGACCUGGGCUUGUGACUGGGUGUAGAAAUGACCUGGUUAGCUCUCUAGGAGAAAAGUAAAGGCCUAGCCUUGGGCCUGAUUGAAGCCACACGUCUCUGCCAACACUAUGUAGAAAAAAGGGCAGUUGUGUUGAAUCACUGCAUUUUUAAGUAGAAUCUGUCCAAACCCUCCUAUUUUACAGGCUAGGAAUCAAGAUGUGGAGGAGGGUAUGAUGCCCAAGUGCAUGCAUCUGGUUUUGCAAGGGGUGUGGCUACCACCAGGCCACAUAGAGCCACUCCACAGGUCAGUGGUGAGAAGUCUGAUCUGCUUCCCCCAUCGGGGGAGAGUUGCCUGCUCCCUCAGGCUGAGUUAGAUGCUCCUGCACGUUCUGGUGCCGGCACAUUUAUCCUUCCACAGUGGGAGCCCUUCCCCCUACAGUGGUUUUGGAGGGCCAGGACCAAGUACCUAUCAUCCCAUUGUGGGGUGGGGCACUGGCAUCAGGGCUGGCUUUUCCGCUGGAAGCUGGACCCAGCUCUCCCUACCGGACGUCCUUUCCUGCCUGUCAUCAGAGUGAGCCUCAGAAGCCCAGCAGGUUCCUCUGAGGACACCACCCUCUUCAUACCAGGAGGGCAGCCCUGCCAGGGACCAGGGCUUCUGCCAGUUUUCCAAUGCAAAGAAAGACUGGGAGACAGUCUAUACCAGUGUUGUCCGAAGGACAAAUAAUGUGAAAAAAGGAAAAAGAAGCAGGUUUUGGCAUAGUCAAGAAACAAAGGCAGCAAAUGUACGAGUCAACGUUUUCCAGAAAAACAGAAACAAUGGGCUACACACACAUACUCGUAUCUCUGCCACACACCAUCUCCACUCCAGGGUGCAGGUGAAUGGAGUGCUCAGUCUGGAACAUUGCUGGCCUCAUGGCAGAGAUAAAAAAGAUCAUGGUGAAACGUGCUAAUUCUGAACUCUUCUGCCUGAAAAUGACGCACAUCACUGCCUUCGCGUUUCAUUGACUGAAUCAAGUCAUGUGGCUAGGCCUGGGCAUCCGUGGGAGUGAGGAAAUAUAAUCCUUUCUCAGGAGGAGCAGCAAAUACUUGGCAAUGAUGGUGGUCUACCACAGGAGGUUACUGUAAUAAUCAAGGCAAAAAUGAAGCUAGCAGUUGAGGUGGUAAAAAUAACUAGUAUUUGGGACAGAGCAGGGUGGGUGGACUUGCUGCUUGAGCAAAUGUGAAGUAUGAAAGAAAGAAGAGGGAUUUGAUCUGAGCACCUUGGUGAAUGGUGGUAUCAUUUGCUGAGUUGGAGAAAACUGAAAGAGGGGUAGAUUUAAGUGGAAAAAUUAGGAAUUCUGUUUUGGAUGUGUUGGGCUUGAGAUUCCUAAUCAGAGAUAUGCUGGGCUUGAAGAUAAGAAUUUGGGAGUCAUUAGCAUUGAGACUGCCUCUGAGGCCAUGGGACUGGAUGAGAUCAAACCCAGGAAACAGGAAGGCUGGGACUGAACUGGGGGCAUGUCAGCAUACAAAGGGGAACCAAGCAAAGGACAGAGGGAAGAACCAGACUGGGAGGAGGGGCACAAGGCAUGUGGGAUGGCCCAGAAGCCAAGGGGGGAUGUAUUUCAUGAAGAGAAGACUGGACAGUGUCAGCUGCUGCUCAGAUACUGAAUACGAUGACAAUUAAAAUCCACUGUUAGAUUCGGCCAGAUGCAGGCACCUGUGACUUGACAAGCCAUUGGUGACUUGGGGGAGGAAGUCUUAAUUGCAAUGGGUUGAGAGCACACAUGUCCUGAUUCAAGUCCAGUGCCUCCUUUGGUUUGUUACACUUCAUGGAAACUUCUCAUGUAGAGAGUGGAGUUGUUGAAAAUGUUAUGGAAUCAAAGUAUUUGUACCUUAUUCUUUGGCUCACUCACCCUGGGGGAAUAAUCUCCUAAAAACUUGAGUACAAGCAUCUAAUCGUAACUGAUUCACUGCCUUUUCUUCCAUGAGUGUGUGGAAUAAAAUGUGUGCAGAAAUCUGUUUCUCUAUAGGCCCUCCAUAAAUGAUGGGGCAUAUUAUAAAUUUGUUAUCCCCUUUAACCAUGGAAACACAAGGGGAGGCAGGCAAAUAGGAUUGGGAAAAAUAGAAGCAUCUUGUUUACUGUCCAGCAUCGAGAGCAGGAAAUAAAACCUGCUUCCAACAGCAAUACAUUGAAUUAAAUGAGGUAGUUUUACUCCUGCAUAAUGCUCCAAGGGGCAUUUCAAAGCAAUAAACCCAACAGCAGAACCUAUGAAACAAAGAGAAAAGGGUGGGAAAUGAAAAGGGAAGGGAAAUGUACAAUUGUUACUGUGUAUGUUUUUGUUUGGCCUGUGCGGCAUGGCUACCGACAACUGUUUCUGGUUGUGCAUAAGAUUUUCCCUGGACACCUGGGAGGACCAGAUGGCAGCUCUGUGCCUUAUCCUCAGGUACUGGUACAUCCAAAGCAAGCCAGGUUGGUAAGGCCAGGACAGCGAGGCUGGGGGUGUUUUCUAUAAACUUCAAACACUUCCAACAUUUUCCAAAGAUGGUUGUGAUUCUUGCUUCUUAUUAUUGUGUGCUCCCAGUCAAGGGCAAUAUUCCAAAUAUUUAAUAAGUAGUAAAGAAUAGGCCCUGACUAAUGGGAACAGACACCAGACCAAUCAGAAUAGAGGCUGCCUGUACCCAACAUGUUAGCUGAAUGGUAGGCUUGUCCUCCAUGACUAGUGAAAAGAGCAUGGGCGCUCAGUUUAAUCUUGAAUGUUUCUUUGAAUCCCUUGUAGCUCUGUGUCUUUGGGCAAGUUCAAGCUUUGCUGUGCCUCAUUUUCCUCAUAUUUAAAAAAAGAGAAUAAUAUUUCCUUGUGAAGUUAUUUUGAAAAAUGACAUGAAAUGUGUUUCAGUUGUCUACUGCUAUCUAACCAAUCACUCAAAACCUCGUGGCUUAAAGCAACAAUGGUUUAUCAUGGCUCAUGAUUAGGUGGGUCAAGAAUCCAGGCAGGACCUGACUGAGCAGUUCUUCUGCUCCGCGUGGUGUGUCCCGUGCGUUCAGCUGGAAGCUGGGUCGGGCCAGGAGGUCCAGGAAGGCCUCAUGCAUGUCUGGCACUUCACUGCUGCCCUACACAGUCUCUUGCUUCCCACAUGGUAUCUCCUCAUGCAGGAAUCUGAGUUUCUUUAAAAUGUAGUGGCUGGCUGCUCAGAGCCAGAGAGGAGGAGGCUGCCUGGUGUCUUUAAAUUUCACCCCAGAACUGGCACAUCAUCACUUCUUUCCUGCUGUAAAGGACAAGGCAAAUCAUGAGGCUGGCAAGAUUCAAGGAGGAGGGAGACAGACCCGGGCCAGGGGAAGAUGGAGGCAGAGACAGAGCGCUGCCGGCCUGCGCCCAGGAAGGCCAGCGCUGCCUGAUGCUGGAAGAGGCAGGGGCGGGGUUCUUCGCUCCGAGCCGAGGCCCUUGGGAGGAGCACAGGCCUGUCUGAAGCCUUGGUUUCGGACUUCCGGCCUCCAGAACUGUGAGAGAGUAACUUGUGUUGUUCUAAGCCUCCCAGUUUAUGGUACUUGGCUCUGGCAGCCGUAGGAAGCUAGUGUAAUGGGAGAUGUGGAGCCUGAAAUGACUGCUGGGCCAGUUCUCUGGAGACUUCCCGACUCGAGGCCAAGGGCCGCGACCACAGACUUCGGGAGGCGCUGGCCGCUUAAUGCCUCCAAGGACGGGAGGGACUCUCUGCGUCCAAAGAAACAUCCACGCUGGGUGUCCCGUGCCACCCAGCCCCACUGCCUCCCAGGGAAGACUCUGCGCUCCUCCACAGGCACCGUGAGGUGGAAGCCGUCCUCUGCACCCAGGCAGGGGAGAAAACUCCGCAGGCUGAGCAUUUCCCUCCCCGGGACUCAGCUUGAAAGGUGAUGCUUUCAACUGGAAGAGCUCGAGAACCUUCAGUGGGUGUCGGUGAGUUCCUGCCGCUUGUGCAGUAAGAAGGGCUCAUGAAUGGGUAUAGAAAAUAAAAUGGUGACCAUUUGGGGGACAUAAUUUAAAUUACAAGUGAAAUGAUAUAAUAAUGUAUAUAUGUUGUGAGACAGAUAUCUAUCUCACAAUCUCAAACCCCUUAAUAUGGUAACGAGAAGCAACAGGAGUGUUGUUUUAGAGCCACAGGGCGUCUCCCCUCAUGUGAAGAAAGCACCCUCAAUUGCCAGAAGGGUAUGUGUGGGCUUAGUACUGGGCUGUGGGAUCUCUUUCCUGGGCUUGCUAGGGAAAAGGGCAAAAGGCAAGGAAUGAACUACCACAGUCACGUGGCAUUUCUGUGCUGGAACUUAGGCAAAUUAUGUAGUUGUCCUUGGCAUUCAAAUCUCUACUUUCACCUGAUAUCUUGCUGAGGGGACAUGCGGGAUUCAAAGCUCACUUUGCUGAAGUGUGCAAAAUACUAAUCAGCCUGGCAGCCUGCAGAGUGGUGGAGGGGCGUGCCUCCCUGGAGAGGGGAGGUGGGUGAGGAACCCCAGACUGGGAGCCGCAAGGGGCCCGGCUGACUCAGCGAGCCCUGUCCCAUGUGCCGCCCUCUUUGCUCAUUUCCGCUGUGACCUCUUCUCAGUGGGCAAGGGGAGGACUGUGAGCAUCUGUGUUCUUUUUCACCAAGAAAGAUGAUGCGCAAGAGGGUCAUUGAGAAUAGGAUCCAGGGUCUGGCUCUGAGAUGGCAUGUGGAUAGCAUGUGGGAGAUGCUAAUUUUGGGAAAUGCUUCCAUAUCUCUAUGCAUGUGCCAUUCCGAGUCCCCAGUUAGAGUUGCAAAAGACCUUGGAGAUCAUCUAUCCCUCUGUCCCUCCCCUGCUCAGUGGCUCUGAGCCUGGCACUUAGCAGAUGCUCAGCAAAUAUUUGUUAAAUGAACGAUAUAGUCCAAGUACUCAUUUUACAGGUGAGGCAAUCAAGGCUCAGAAAAAUCAAGAGAUCCGUCAAGGUCAUGCAUCAAGUUUGUGGUAGAUUCAGGCCUCUGAGGUCCAGUACUCUGACCACUCAGCUGGGAAUUUUCUUUCUGGUCCAUUUUGCUGCUAGGACAACUGUAGCCACCGAAAGGAUGCUUCAAUACUCUUGAAAGUUCUCUUCCUGAAUGUUGCUAUGAUACAGUCUUGCGAAGAGCUGAUUGCUCAGUGGCAAGGACAAUUGCUAUUUAUGUUGGGGAAGUCCACGGAACGCUGCCUUGCAGAUCCCACUUUUAACUACCCCUUAAUAUUUGUGGGGAGACUAUCUUGAUGACAAUUUAUAUGUGUAUAUGCACUGAUAAUUUUACCUUUUAGUGAUUGUGAUAUUCUGUUACUAUUUGAUUUAAAUAUUUUUCCCUUCCUUCAUAUCUACCUACAUGAAGGAAAAAAAAAUAAAAACCCCAGCAGAGGGGACUGUAUAUAUGUUGAGGUAGGUGAUGACCAUUUACUGCAUUUCUGUUCCCACAAGUAGUAGAAGCACUCUAGCAUGCCUGCUUCUCUGAGCCUUUGGGUCCUCCUCCCCCACUGUCUGCUGUGGCAGGGCUGGUGUUUCCACCUCACUUAGUUUGGACCAUCACUUUCCCCAAGCUUACAAGAACCAUCCAAGAUGCAUCUUUGCACCAUCUCCUAAAUUCUUGCCAGGAUGUUAAAUCAGUUUCUCAUAAUAAAGUCUUCCUUAUCCAGCUUUAGAGUCUGUCCCCUUUGGAUGGACAACCAGUAUCCACCUUCCUGGCUCCUGGUGAUGCCUUUUGGCCGGGUCCCGCAUCUCCUUUGGCAUGCAGGGUUCUCGUAGCAGGCCCAGCCCUUCUCUGGGAUGAUUAUGUUGUGACUUGAUGCUGAUUAUUGUUCUGGUGGCCAGGAGAGGAGGACAGGUGAGAUCCUGAGGAGGACAUAUGCUGUCUGGCAAGGGAAAGUCCUCUGCAUUCAAAUGUCUUAAAGCAAGGGUCGGGGAGCGCUGACCUAUAACCACGGAAAUGUUACAAGAAUGGGCUGCUUCUUUAGGGUCAGAGGGCUCAGGAGGAUCUGCUGGCUCCAGGUGUCUGAGCACAUUGACUCAGUUGUCACCAUCCAAGUACCGUGCCCCAUUCCUCCCCAGUCAGAGCUCUGGCCUGGAUACAGCAACCUUGCUGCAGUUGUGAUUCCAACCUUCUCUGGGGUUCUGCUACCUUAUGAUUCAGCUUUCUCUGCCCUCUGGCUGCAGGACAUGAGCUUCUCUUUACUUGCUGCCAAGAAGGCCUCUGACUCUCACUCUUUACCUUUUAAUGGUGAUGUAUCACCUCCCUCAGCCCUUCAUUUUCUGUCUCUAAUGCUCUUACAGCACCCAGGAGCAGCCAUCUGAGCCCACUGUACUUGGAGUUGCUACUGCUCUAGCCCUGCACCUCUCAAAUGCUUUGUAUACUCGCCAGCCAGUGCAUUCCCCUCCAGAGGUAUCCCUUCCCAUUCAGAACAGGGGACAGGUUUAACAAUGGCAUUUCCAAAGAGUUGGGCUUCUCAAAACUCCACUCACUACUGGUCUUGGGUACUCACUGCCAGCUAGCAGGGAAUCCAGCUCCUAAAAUGCCACUUUAGGGUAGGCUUCCUAGGACACCUCCUGACUCUAAGUUGGAGCUCAAGUUCCUCAGACACAGACUCUAGAUGGAGAUUUGCAUGCAGAUGUUUAAGUGGAGAAUGCACUUAGCAAUAGCAGGUAUAGAGAAGUGAGGGAGGCCGAACUGGGUGCAGGGAGAAGCUAAACUAUUGUACAGUUGCAGUAGAGGCCUUGCUGAUCCCACAGCAAGAUCUGCAGCUGUGAUGGCAUUUUUUGGUUGUCCUGCCUGGUGUAAAGAGAGCCAGGCCUUUGUGCCCCUGCACCGACCAGUCACUGGAUGUGGGCUGCCCCUGGAGAGG